UCUUCCGUAGUAUAGUGGUCAGUAUGUGAGCUUGUCACCUUAACCCGACAUCGCUCGAGACCCGGGUUCAAUUCCCGGCGGGAGAG